rnacentral:rRNA from 1 species
CGCCUGUUUAUCAAAAACAUCUUUUCUUGUUAGUUUUUGAAGUAUGGCCUGCCCGCUGACAUUUGGUGUUGAAGGGCCGCGGUAUUUUGACCGUGCAAAGGUAGCAUAAUCAUUAGUUCUUUAAUUGUGAUCUGGAAUGAAUGGCUUGACGAGGCACGGGCUGUCUUAGUGUUGAAUGUUUUAUUGAAUUUGGUCUUUGAGUUAAAAUUCUUAGAUGUUUUUGUGGGACGAGAAGACCCUAUAGAGUUUGACAUUUGGUUUAUUUACUUGUUUGUUGUUUGUUUAUUUUUGGUGAGUGGGCUUUUUGUUUUGUUGGGGUGAUGGGAGGAAUGUACUUAACUCCUCUUAGUUUUGGUUAUAUUGAUUUAUAAUUGUUUGAUCCAUUUAUUUUGAUUGUAAGACUAAAUUACCUUAGGGAUAACAGCGUAA